CAGUAGCCACGGUAAUACGUAGGGUGCAAGCGUUGUCCGGAAUUAUUGGGCGUAAAGAGCUCGUAGGCGGUUUGUCGCGUCUGCUGUGAAAUCCCGAGGCUCAACCUCGGGCUUGCAGUGGGUACGGGCAGACUAGAGUGCGGUAGGGGAGAUUGGAAUUCCUGGUGUAGCGGUGGAAUGCGCAGAUAUCAGGAGGAACACCGAUGGCGAAGGCAGAUCUCUGGGCCGUAACUGACGCUGAGGAGCGAAAGCGUGGGGAGCGAACAGGAUUAGAUACCCCUGUAGUCCCUGUCUCUUAUAC
rnacentral:rRNA from 1 species